UUUCCGCUCAGCCCCACAAUCCCCUUGUAGCUGUGGAAGGGAGGAGGUCAGUGGGAGAAAACAAUUUUCUGUUUGCCAGAUCUGCCCCAGCUCUUCUGAGCGAGCGAGCCUCACCUCCCUGUGGCAAGGCAAGGGACAGAGAAACCACAGAGAAAGAGAGACGCACACACAUCAAAGCUUCCCAGGGCCAAAACAACAGCUCACUAACAGGAAAAAAAAAAAGAAAAAGAAGACCCAGGCUCAGAGGCAGAUCUGCUACUCAGACUAAUCACAGCUGUUCCAGAAGACACACUGAUCUAGACUGGGGCAAUUAGGGAAGUAGAUGUGGGGAAAUCUUCCACCCAGCACUCAUCCUCCCCUCCAAAGGAAGAAAUAAACACAUAGGCGUGCGUGUGUGCAGAACUGCCAAGUUUUGUGCGGCUCCCUGCGUGACAGGAGCCGCAGUUGUGGAGCAGAACCCUGUUGUGCUGUAUAAACACACAACAAAAAAGAUGCUGCCCCGCAGAACUUACAAUACUGAUUAUCCCUCAUUCCUCCAUUGGGGAGGACGGUGUCACGGAACAAAUGAGGAAACAGCAAAACUAUUUUCCAGUAUGUGACCUUCAGAAGCCACAUGUCCACAUGGAGGAGGCAGGUGGGGAAGAGAAAGAGGAGAAGGACAGAGACGUAAGAAAGAAUUGUUUCUUGGUGGACGGAGUUGAUGAAAAGCAGAGGCAAAGUUCUUGUUUUUCUCCUUUUAAAGCACCACACUACAAAGAUAGCAGAAGCUCCUAUUCAAACAGAGACUUUGACUUUGCUGAUUGCUGUCUGGAGCCCAACUUCCCCCCUGCAGGAUACUAGAAGCUCAUGUGGAUUUCAGUGGGGCAAAUCGUGUUCUGUGAUCCUAUGUGGAGUGGAACAGGUUAAAACCUACGGCUCAUUACAUUGGAGAACUCACUAUAUUGGAGGAUGGGUAUUUCCAUUUUCCCAUUUUGUGGGUCAGGGUGGGAUAUGACACUCCAGCCCUGCCCCUCUGCUAACAUUCCUACCUUGCUUUGGGGGGUGCACGCCAUUUAUUACCAGGGAACAAAACUGUUUUUUGGGUGAGGGGAAAUUACACCUUUUAGAAAUACCUACAUGUUGUCUAGCAGGUUUCUAAGCAUCAUUGACUUUAGGGCAGGAAACCAAAAGUUCAGCACUGCCCAGUUGGGACAAUUUAAAGGGAGAGAGAUUUAAAAAAAAAAAAGAAGAAGAGUGUGGUUUUAAAAGUCUCAC